rnacentral:lncRNA from 1 species
UCAUCUCAUGAUUCAGAAUAAGAAUCAGUAAUAAAGGACAUGAGAAUCACAUAAUAAGUUACUUGACUUUUGAGUACACAGUUUCAUUUAAUCAUAUGUGUAGCAGUGGAAAAUGCCAUCAGCAGUACAUAGCUAAUUCAGCAGCUAAUAAAAUAAAAGUAUAAAAAAAGAGCAAAGGUCUCAUCUACCACAUGGUUCCUGUUCUUCAUUGAUCAGAAAGAUGAGCUAUUUCUUAUAAGAAAGUAUAGAGAGAGAGAGAGAGGCCUCUUCAUGUUGAUCCAUAUUGCAUCCUCUUCUGAACUUAAUU